AUGUGGAGGAACACCGAUGGCGAAGGCAGCCCCUGGGUCAAGAUUGACGCUCAUGCACGAAAGCGUGGGGAGCAAACAGGAUUAGAUACCUGGUAGUCCACGCCCUAAACGAUGUCUACUAGUUGUCGGGUCUUAAUUGACUUGGUAACGCAGCUAACGCGUGAAGUAGACCGCCUGGGGAGUACGGUCGCAAGAUUAAAACUCAAAGGAAUUGACGGGGACCCGCACAAGCGGUGGAUGAUGUGGAUUAAUUCGAUGCAACGCGAAAAACCUUACCUACCCUUGACAUGGCUGGAAUCCUUGAGAGAUCAGGGAGUGCUCGAAAGAGAACCAGUACACAGGUGCUGCAUGGCUGUCGUCAGCUCGUGUCGUGAGAUGUUGGGUUAAGUCCCGCAACGAGCGCAACCCUUGUCAUUAGUUGCUACGAAAGGGCACUCUAAUGAGACUGCCGGUGACAAACCGGAGGAAGGUGGGGAUGACGUCAAGUCCUCAUGGCCCUUAUGGGUAGGGCUUCACACGUCAUACAAUGGUACAUACAGAGCGCCGCCAACCCGCGAGGGGGAGCUAAUCGCAGAAAGUGUAUCGUAGUCCGGAUUGUAGUCUGCAACUCGACUGCAUGAAGUUGGAAUCGCUAGUAAUCGCGGAUCAGCAUGUCGCGGUGAAUACGUUCCCGGGUCUUGUACACACCGCCCGUCACACCAUGGGAGCGGGCUUUACCAGAAGUAGGUAGCUUAACCGCAAGGAGGGCGCUUACCACGGUAGGAUUCGUGACUGGGGUGAAGUCGUAACAAGGUAGCCGUAUCGGAAGGUGCGGCUGGAUCACCUCCUU
rnacentral:rRNA from 1 species